UACGUAGGGUGCAAGCGUUAAUCGGAAUUACUGGGCGUAAAGCGUGCGCAGGCGGUUUUGUAAGUCUGUCGUGAAAUCCCCCGGGCUUAACCUGGGAACUGCGUUUGAAACUGGAAGGCUUGAGUGUGGCAGAGGGGGGUGGAAUUCCACGUGUAGCAGUGAAAUGCGUAGAUAUGUGGAGGAACACCGAUGGCGAAGGCAGCCCCCCUGGCUAACACUGACGCCCAUGCACGAAAGCGUGGGGAGCAAACAGG
rnacentral:rRNA from 1 species